AUUGAACGCUGGCGGCGUGCUUAACACAUGCAAGUCGAGCGGUAACAGGCGUAGCAAUACGUGCUGACGAGCGGCGAACGGGUGAGUAAUGCUUCGGAAUCUUCCUCGUAGUGGGGAAUAACCUGGGGAAACUCAGGCUAAUACCGCAUACGAACUACGGUUGAAAGCAGGGGAUCGCAAGACCUUGCGCUAUGAGAUGAGCCGAAGUCGGAUUAGCUAGUUGGGGAGGUAACGGCUCACCAAGGCGACGAUCCGUAGCUGGUCUGAGAGGACGACCAGCAACACUGGGACUGAGACACGGCCCAGACUCCUACGGGAGGCAGCAGUGGGGAAUAUUGGACAAUGGGGGCAACCCUGAUCCAGCGACGCCGCGUGUGUGAAGAAGGCCUGCGGGUUGUAAAGCACUUUUAGUGGGGAUGAAAAGCACAGUACUAAUACUGCUGUGUCUUGACCUAACCCAAAGAAAAAGCACCGGCUAACUCUGUGCCAGCCGCCGCGGUAA
rnacentral:rRNA from 1 species